AGCGAACGCUGGCGGCAGGCCUAACACAUGCAAGUCGAACGGAUCCUUCGGGAUUAGUGGCGGACGGGUGAGUAACACGUGGGAACGUGCCCUUUGGUUCGGAACAACUCCGGGAAACUUGAGCUAAUACCGGAUGUGCCCUUCGGGGGAAAGAUUUAUCGCCAUUGGAGCGGCCCGCGUCUGGUUAGCUAGUUGGUGAGGUAAAGGCUCACCAAGGCGACGAUCAGUAGCUGGUCUGAGAGGUUGAUCAGCCACAUUGGGACUGAGACACGGCCCAAACUCCUACGGGAGGCAGCAGUGGGGAAUCUUGCGCAAUGGGCGAAAGCCUGACGCAGCCAUGCCGCGUGAAUGAUGAAGGUCUUAGGAUUGUAAAAUUCUUUCACCGGGGACGAUAAUGACGGUACCCGGAGAAGAAGCCCCGGCUAACUUCGUGCCAGCAGCCGCCGUAACAC
rnacentral:rRNA from 1 species